UUACGGGAGGCAGCAGUGAGGAAUAUUGGUCAAUGGGCGCAAGCCUGAACCAGCCAUCCCGCGUGAAGGAAGAAGGCGCUAUGCGUUGUAAACUUCUUUUUCAGGGGAAGAAUGUUGGGUACGUGUACCCAAUUGCCGGUACCCUGUGAAUAAGCAUCGGCUAACUCCGUGCCAGCAGCCGCGGUAAUACGGAGGAUGCGAGCGUUAUCCGGAUUUAUUGGGUUUAAAGGGUGCGUAGGCGGAUAGAUAAGUCAGUGGUGAAAUCCUGCAGCUUAACUGUGGAAUUGCCGUUGAUACUGUCAGUCUUGAGUAUGGUUAAGGUAGGCGGAAUGUGUAAUGUAGCGGUGAAAUGCUUAGAUAUUACACAGAACACCGAUUGCGAAGGCAGCUUACUGAACCAUAACUGACGCUGAGGCACGAAAGCGUGGGGAGCGAACAGGAUUAGAUACCCCGGUAGA
rnacentral:rRNA from 1 species